rnacentral:rRNA from 1 species
GUCUAUGGCCAUACCACCCUGAACGUGCCCGAUCUCGUCUGAUCUUGGAAGCUAAGCAGGGUCGGACCUGGUUAGUAGUUGGAUGGGAGAAUUUUACAUGUUCAAUCCCAAUCUGAAGAACAAUUUGAGUUAAUAACA